rnacentral:rRNA from 1 species
AUUGAACGCUGGCGGCAUGCCUUACACAUGCAAGUCGAACGGCAGCACGGGUGCUUGCACCUGGUGGCGAGUGGCGAACGGGUGAGUAAUACAUCGGAACAUGUCCUGUAGUGGGGGAUAGCCCGGCGAAAGCCGGAUUAAUACCGCAUACGAUCUACGGAUGAAAGCGGGGGACCUUCGGGCCUCGCGCUAUAGGGUUGGCCGAUGGCUGAUUAGCUAGUUGGUGGGGUAAAGGCCUACCAAGGCGACGAUCAGUAGCUGGUCUGAGAGGACGACCAGCCACACUGGGACUGAGACACGGCCCAGACUCCUACGGGAGGCAGCAGUGGGGAAUUUUGGACAAUGGGCGAAAGCCUGAUCCAGCAAUGCCGCGUGUGUGAAGAAGGCCUUCGGGUUUUAAAGCACUUUUGUCCGGAAAGAAAUCCUUGGCUCUAAUACAGUCGGGGGAUGACGGUACCGGAAGAAUAAGCACCGGCUAACUACGUG